rnacentral:rRNA from 1 species
CCUACGGGAGGCAGCAGUGAGGAAUAUUGGUCAAUGGGCGCUAGCCUGAACCAGCCAAGUAGCGUGAAGGAUGACUGCCCUAUGGGUUGUAAACUUCUUUUAUAUGGGAAUAAAGUGCAGUAUGUAUACUGCUUUGCAUGUACCUUAUGAAUAAGGAUCGGCUAACUCCGUGCCAGCAGCCGCGGUAAUACGGAGGAUCCGAGCGUUAUCCGGCUUUAUUGGGUUUAAAGGGAGCGUAGGCGGGUUGUUAAGUCAGUUGUGAAAGUUUGCGGCUCAACCGUAAAAUUGCAGUUGAUACUGGCAGCCUUGAGUACAGUAGAGGUAGGCGGAAGUCGUGGUGUAGCGGUGAAAUGCUUAGAUAUCACGAAGAACUCCGAUUGCGAAGGCAGCCUGCUGGACUGUAACUGACGCUGAUGCUCGAAAGUGUGGGUAUCAAACAGGAUUAGAUACCCCAGUAGUC